GGUGGGGUAGGGCGAGACUCGCUUGGCAUUUUCCCUGAUCAGACAGUGCGCAGCGCGCGGACUGUAAAUCUGCCGGCUCAGCCUACCCAGGUUCGAACCCUGGCGCCGCCA
rnacentral:tRNA from 1 species